rnacentral:rRNA from 1 species
CCAAUAGCGUAUAUUAAAGUUGUUGCAGUUAAAAAGCUCGUAGUUGAACUUCGGGAUUUACCCAUUGGUCAGGCUUAAUUGUCUGUACUGGUGAGAUAAAUCUCUACCUUCUGAAGAACUUUCAUGUCAUUAGUUUGGUGUGAUUGGAAAUCAGGACUGUUACUUUGAAAAAAUUAGAGGGUUUAAAGCAGGCUAACGUCUGAAUACAUUAGCAUGGAAUAAUGAAAUAGGAAGGACUGAUUCUAUUUCGUUGGUUUCUAGGAUCACCGUAAUGAUUAAUAGGGAUAGUUGGGGGCAUUAGUAUUCAAUUGUCAGAGGUGAAAUUCUUGGAUUUAUUGAAGACUAACUACUGCGAAAGCAUUUGCCAAGGAUGUUUUCAUUAAUCAAGAACGAAAGUUAGGGGAUCGAAGACGAUCAGAUACCGUCGUAGUCUUAACCAUAAACUAUGCCGACUAGGGAUCGGACGAAGUUAAUUUUAUAAUGACGCGUUCGGCACCUUACG